rnacentral:rRNA from 1 species
AAGUCUCAAGUAAAGCAAG